AUAGAUGAAUAAAUUCUUAUGAAUUUUGAAUGGCAUGAAGGUGACGGUGACAUUAUUUUUUUUUUGUGAACUAUCCCCUGUAGACCAUCAGGGAUAAUAAAUCAAUUAUAUAACAGGUUAGAAGGUUUUAGGUUGUUCAGAAGUAUUUGUAAUAGACUUUAUCUGAGUGGGCAACUGGAUCAAAAGAUUUGGACCUGGAACACGGCUGAUUGUAACUGGAAAUACUGAGUCGCCAAAAGUGUCUGGAUACCUACCGUCAAAGAAAUCCAGUGACAAAGAUGACAUUCACACAAUGUUAUGCCACGCAAGAGACAUGAUUCCUGACUUGGUGAAAUUCACAUGGCAAAAAAAGAGCGGAACAAAAGAUUGGGAGGAUGUGAAUGAAAAUGUUGUUGAACAGAGUUACAAAGUUAAAGUAAAUAAUAAAGAUCAAGUUAAAGCAGUGUCAAGUAUGAUGAUUAUAGAUAAAAACACGGCCGAAAACAACGACUACCAAUGCAUUGUUACCCAUGAGGGAGUCAAUGAGAAACCCCAAACUCUUUUAAUGAAGAAAGAUGAAAUUAAGCCGCCAAUGGUUCCUACGAAGAAAAAUUGUCCAGCCACUGAUGAGACCAUAAAAAAUCAAAUAUCAGGAGAUUCGGAGCAAAUACGCAGUCUGUACGUGUUUGUCUAUGCAUAUGGUGUCAUGAUCAUGAAGAACGUACUGUAUUUUUUUGUUGUGACUAUCUUUCUAUUAAAGAGAAAAGCUGCAAGAAAGAAAGAUGAAACCUCUUAGAGAUUUAAUGCUAAUAUAAGAUAAAUAUCAAUUAAGCAAAGGUUAUUAGCAAGUUUCGCUGACUAAAGAAUAGAUACAUAUCUGCAGCUAUAUUAUCUCUGCUUAACUGUAUUGCUUUUACAUUUGUAGUAGGUUUUCUUUGCAUAGUUUAGUUUUGCAUAUUUGAAAUGUAUCAUUUAGAUUAUUAAAAAUGUGUAAUGUACCCAAAUUUUUAAAAUGUGUUUUGCAUUCCCUUUGUUUUUUUUGUUUGUUUUUUGUUUGUUUUUUUUGCAUUCUCAGAAUAAAAUCUGCUCCUAAAAUAAAUUAAAUGUUAUUCUUAGAUGUGUAGUAAAAGGAAUUCU
rnacentral:lncRNA from 1 species